CAGCAGCCACGGGAAUACAGAGGGUGCGAGCGUUAAUUGGAUUUACUGGGCGUAAAGCGUGCGUAGGCGGCUUCUUAAGUCGGAUGUGAAAUCCCUGAGCUUAACUUAGGAAUUGCAUUCGAUACUGGGAAGCUAGAGUAUGGGAGAGGAUGGUAGAAUUCCAGGUGUAGCGGUGAAAUGCGUAGAGAUCUGGAGGAAUACCGAUGGCGAAGGCAGCCAUCUGGCCUAAUACUGACGCUGAGGUACGAAAGCAUGGGGAGCAAACAGGAUUAGAUACCCCCGUAGUCCCUGUCUCUUAUAC
rnacentral:rRNA from 1 species